GAUGAACGCUAGCGGGAGGCUUAAUACAUGCAAGUCGAACGGUAACAGGGGAGCUUGCUCCUGCUGACGAGUGGCGCACGGGUGAGUAACGCGUACACAACCUACCUUAUACAGAGGGAUAGCCCUGGGAAACUGGGAAUAAUACCUCAUGGUUUUUUGUCGAGGCAUCUCGGCAUUAAUAAAGUUCCGGCGGUAUAAGAUGGGUGUGCGUGCUAUUAGCUAGUUGGUAAGGUAACGGCUUACCAAGGCUACGAUAGCUAGGGGGCGUGAGAGCGUGAUCCCCCACACGGGUACUGAGACACGGACCCGACUCCUACGGGAGGCAGCAGUAAGGAAUAUUGGACAAUGGGCGCAAGCCUGAUCCAGCCAUCCCGCGUGCAGGAUGACGGCCCUAUGGGUUGUAAACUGCUUUUAUACAGGACGAAACGCCUUCAUUUAUGAGGGUCUGACGGUACUGUACGAAUAAGCACCGGCUAAUUCCG
rnacentral:rRNA from 1 species